GGGUCCAUAGCUCAGUGGU
rnacentral:siRNA from 1 species